rnacentral:rRNA from 1 species
UAAGGAAUAUUGGUCAAUGGACGGAAGUCUGAACCAGCCAUGCCGCGUGCAGGAAGACGGCCCUACGGGUUGUAAACUGCUUUUGUACCGGAAUAAACCUUCCUACGUGUAGGGAGCUGAAUGUACGGUAAGAAUAAGGAUCGGCUAACUCCGUGCCAGCAGCCGCGGUAAUACGGAGGAUCCAAGCGUUAUCCGGAUUUAUUGGGUUUAAAGGGUGCGUAGGCGGCUUAUUAAGUCAGGGGUGAAAGGCGGUAGCUUAACUAUCGGAGUGCCCUUGAUACUGAUGAGCUUGAAUACAGUUGAGGUAGGCGGAAUGUGACAAGUAGCGGUGAAAUGCAUAGAUAUGUCACAGAACACCGAUUGCGAAGGCAGCUUACUAAAGUGUGAUUGACGCUGAGGCACGAAAGCGUGGGGAUCAAAC